GUCUAUGGCCAUGCCACCUUGAACAAGCCCAAUAUCUGAUCUCGGAAGCUAAGCAGGGUCGGACCUGGUUAGUACUUGGAUGGGAGACCACCUAGGAAGGCCAGGUGCUGUAGGCA
rnacentral:rRNA from 1 species